rnacentral:rRNA from 1 species
UACGUAGGGCGCAAGCGUUAUCCGGAAUUAUUGGGCGUAAAGCGCACGUAGGCGGCGCUGCAAGUCGGAUGUGAAAUCCCUCGGCUUAACCAAGGAAGUGCAUCCGAAACUGCAGUGCUUGAGUACUUAAGAGGAUCGCGGAAUUCCCGGUGUAGAGGUGAAAUUCGUAGAUAUCGGGAGGAACACCAGUGGCGAAGGCGGCGAUCUGGGAAGAUACUGACGCUGAGGUGCGAAAGCGUGGGGAGCAAACAGG